rnacentral:rRNA from 1 species
UACGUAGGCAGCAAGCGUUGUUCGGAGUUACUGGGCGUAAAGGGUGUGUAGGCGGUUGUUUAAGUUUGGUGUGAAAUCUCCCGGCUCAACUGGGAGGGUGCGCCGAAUACUGAAUGACUAGAGUGUGGGAGAGGUGAGUGGAAUUCCUGGUGUAGCGGUGAAAUGCGUAGAUAUCAGGAGGAACACCGGUGGUGUAGACGGCUCACUGGACCAGAACUGACGCUGAGACACGAAAGCGUGGGUAGCAAACAGG